rnacentral:rRNA from 1 species
UGGGGGAUAUUAGUCAAUGGAGGAAACUCUGAACUAGCGACGCCGCGUGAGGGAAGAAGGUCUUCGGAUUGUAAACCUCUGUCGCAAGGGACGAAACAAAUGACGGUACCUUGUGAGGAAGCCCCGGCUAACUACGUGCCAGCAGCCGCGGUAAUACGUAGGGGGCGAGCGUUGUCCGGAAUUACUGGGCGUAAAGGGUGCGUAGGCGGUUGCUUAAGUUGGAUGUGAAAUACCCGGGCUUAACAUGGGGGGUGCAUCCAAUACUGGUUGACUAGAGUACAGGAGAGGAAAGCGGAAUUCCUAGUGUAGCGGUGAAAUGCAUAGAUAUUAGGAGGAACAUCGGUGGCGAAGGCGGCUUUCUGGACUGACACUGACGCUGAGGCUCGAAAGCGUGGGGAGCAAACA